AAUGAACGCUGGCGGCAGGCCUAACACAUGCAAGUCGAACGGGUCCUUCGGGAUUAGUGGCGGACGGGUGAGUAACGCGUGGGAACAUACCCUUUGGUACGGAAUAGCCUCGGGAAACUGAGAGUAAUACCGUAUGUGCCCUUCGGGGGAAAGAUUUAUCGCCAAAGGAUUGGCCCGCGUUGGAUUAGGUAGUUGGUGGGGCAAUGGCCUACCAAGCCGACGAUCCAUAGCUGGUUUGAGAGGAUGAUCAGCCACACUGGGACUGAGACACGGCCCAGACUCCUACGGGAGGCAGCAGUGGGGAAUCUUAGACAAUGGGGGAAACCCUGAUCUAGCCAUGCCGCGUGAUCGAUGAAGGCCUUAGGGUUGUAAAGAUCUUUCAGAUGGGAAGAUAAUGA
rnacentral:rRNA from 1 species